AACGCACCUUGCGCUCCUUGGCAUUCCGAGGAGCAUGCCUGUUUGAGUGUCAUGUCAAUACUCAAAUCCAUGCCUUUGUGUAUGGGUUUGGACUUGAAGGGUUUGCUGGCUUUUCGGAGCUGGCUCCUUUUAAAUGCAUUAGCUGGUUUUAUGAGCCUGUUUUUCAGUGUUGUAAAUUUUUAAUACGCGCUGUGAUGAACUAGUUCAACUUGCCGCUGAUAGACAACAUUUUUCUAUGUCUCUGACCUCAAAUCAGGUAGGAUUACCCGCUGAACUUAA
rnacentral:misc_RNA from 2 species